rnacentral:rRNA from 1 species
UACGUAGGGGGCUAGCGUUGCUCGGAAUCACUGGGCGUAAAGGGUGCGUAGGCGGGUCUUUAAGUCCGGGGUGAAAUCCUGGAGCUCAACUCCAGAACUGCCUUUGAUACUGAGGAUCUUGAGUUCGGGAGAGGUGAGUGGAACUGCGAGUGUAGAGGUGAAAUUCGUAGAUAUUCGCAAGAACACCAGUGGCGAAGGCGGCUCACUGGCCCGAUACUGACGCUGAGGCACGAAAGCGUGGGGAGCAAACAGG